UCCUGCCACAAGCUGUGAAAGACUUGCAGUGCUGCCUUCUCUUAUCUCAGUGCUUCCCUGGUGCUGUCAGUUCUGCCCUUGCCCAUUGCUGAGGAAUGCAUGGUGCUGGGGAGAAUGUUGUGACCAUAUGCUACAGUGGUGGGUGCUCCUAUCAGCGUUGAGGGGUAAAGUACCAGGAGAGCAAUAAGUUCCCCUUUCAUGGUUAAAGCAGUGCUGAUGAUGGGUGCUAGGGCAGUUCUGGUGACCAGAGUGGGAGCACCCAGUCUGCCCCAAAGCUUUAUGCUCCUUUGCCAUCCCUGAUGUAUGUAUGCUGAAUUCCCCAACAUCUGCCCCUUGCUGAUAUCUAUUUGUUGGAAGCCGGAUGCAUCUCUGAUUUGGGAAAUCAAUCACACUUAAUUGAAGGGUGAUUGUUUUCACAUACGAGCCUGCCACAUCACUUUCAUCUUUAUCACAUUCCCUUUCUCUCUGGGUUUUGUGUGACAAGAUACCGCAGUGCAGCAGGGAAAGGGUCGCUGACCUUGGACCUGGAUAUAAUUGAAAAAAGGAGGGCAGUGUCUCCUUUCUUUCCUCGGGUGACUCAGUUUGCAUUUCAUUCAACUCUUGAACAGAGCAUGUGCGUGAGCUCAGAGCCAUGUUCAAUCCCAUCCCUGUGCUGCAGCAGUGAGUGGUGCCAUCCUUUGGGUUUUUGGGGCCAUUCUCUUUUUCCUCUCUCUUCGUGGUCCCACUGGAAGCUGUUCUGUGCCUGGACUGAGCCCUUUUUCUGGUACACUCCAGUGCUUAACAAGGUUCUGACUGCCUUCAGGAACCCCCAUAACACAGACAGUGCACAAGCUGUCCCUCCUGGCUUGGCAGUGGAGGAGACCUCAUCCCUCUGACUCUAGGAAGGCUGUGGUUGAAGGCAUGUCUCCAAAUCCUGGGCUUGUCUGAAGGUUAAUGGUGUCAAGAGGAAGGCUCCUGACGGCUCUUGGAUGAGGCAGCUGACAAGGCAAUGAAAUGCAGCUGAAAUGAUGUUUCUGACAUGUGCCACUUCCCAGCGUGACCCCUCGGACCCACUCACACCAGUGCUGCUAACUACUACUGUGUUCCUUGGAGCCUGCAGGAGCUGUGUGCUGCCAGGAACCCAACCCGCCCAACUUUAUUGCUGCAACCAGAUCCUGGCUCGAGGGAUGUUACCACAGCCCAGUUUGCCCACGGGGGCCUGAAGAACAAAUACUUUCCUAACAGCCGUGACUUCAGCCCGCACAUGUCCCGUGCCCCGGAUGGCUCCUCUGACAGAGGAAGCCCCUGCCAGGAUUUACAGGGCCCGACCACUUCCUGAAAUUGCUGCCCCUGCUUGUUAUAUCUCAGUCCUGGGUCCGGAUCCACGUUUGAAAGGAAAGGAGAGCCCUGGGAAGGAAGUGGGAGGAGGUGAGUGGGUCCCAAUGGUACGGCUGCAGGGCUGGGGGAUGGCAAUGGACCCCACUACGGCAGAGUCUUUUUACUACCUGUGGUGGAAAAUGAGUGCCAGCUGCAAAUCAAGGAUUUCAACAGCCUCUCUGAAGGCAUGUCAAGCAUUUUAUGGCUGGAAAUACAUUCAGGGUUUAUGAUGGGCUGCCCACUGAUCUUUCCUGCGUGUUCACACUCUGCCUUUGGAUGGAGAGGAGUCUCCACAAAUUGAUCACUUUUUGGGUGGCAAAUUGAUUGGUUCCAUCUGCUGCUUUUCUACCUUCCUGCUCCUGAGCAAGGCUUUAAUCUCAUGUUGAGACAGGCUGGGAGCUGGUUUGGAGAAGAGCCUGAGCCUAUGGUGGGAUGGAGCUCAUGGUGCAGAUCUGCAAGUGUCACACACAGCUCCCUCAGUGCCUCACUCUCUCAGUCCUCCAGCACCCAACGUGUGCAAAUCCCACCAUCAGGAUCCAAGCUGGGGUCUCAUAAAGCAGGUAUGUUAAUGGGAGCGGGACCUUCUUUUCCCAUGUAUGUAUAUUCCUAAAUCCUGUCAGGAUGUCAGGUCCCUUCUGUCACAAUCUUUGGAAACUAUCUGAAGGCUUUAAGAGUUGUUAAGGAGAAGAAAGAAUCAGAGAUAUUAGGAGAAAUUUCUUUUCUGGAGAAGUGGUGAGGCAUUGUCACAGGCUGCCUAGGGAGGUGAUGGGGUCACAGUUCCUGGAGGUACUAAAGACAAAGGUAGAUAAAGUACUGAGUGACAUGUUCUAGAGAGGCACACGCUGGUGGUUGGAUUUGAUGAUCUUGAGUGGUCUUCCAACCUUAAUGAUGCUGUGAUUCUGUGAUCCUCAUCCUCUACAUAUGUAUGUAUACACAUAAACAUAUAUUUUAGUGCACAUACCUAGCUAUUCCCAGCAACGCAAAGCUGAUGCAGGUGAUGGUUUACUGUUGACCUACCAUCCUCUAUGCAUAUCUAUUAAGAGGUUUACCAAGCAAUUACAUCCAAUCCAAUGUUGCUUAUUAAUGUACACAGCAGGAUUUUACUGGUCUUCACUUUUUGCUCAUCUCACAGCUGCUUCUUUUAGCAGCUCCCUGCCUUUCCUUCCAUCCACUCUCCUGGUGGAUCUGCUUGCCUGACUCUCACCUUGCAUAAGCUCCAAGAAGGAUUGCUUUUGUCUCUGCUUGUGAAACGAGCACGUGCUCAGCUCAGCCACCCGGCUCCUUCUGUUCAGCUGCUUGUUUAAUGGCUGCGUUUGAUUUCUAUUGAUCAGCCUCUUCCCGUUGUGCUCACAUCAUAUUUUCCAGCUUUCUCUGCAAUCACAGGAGCUAAAUCUUCUCUCAUAGAGAGAGAGGGGGAUAAAAAAAUGACACGGAAAUUUCUCUGCAGUGCCCUUGUGGCAAGAGCUGGGGGUAUACGCAGGAGACAGGAGAACCAAGGAGGGACAUGAUGAGGUGAGAUGGGCCUGCGGGGUUUUGGGAGGGAUGAGGUUGUAACUCUGUUAACUUUAGAGAGAAUAGGGUAUGAGGGUAUCAGUUCCUGCCAAGUACCAUGGUGGCCAGCUUGACUUGCACCUUGGCUGCUAGUUUGUCUGUUGCUAUGGCUGCCAUCUUGGUUUGUGCCAAAGGUGCCAUUUUGGCCAACGCACCCAACUGGCCAUAGCCAUGACCAAGUACAACCCCUGGCCAUUUUGUAUAUGAAUUCCCUGCAGGACUGAUGAGUCCUUUGUUGAGCACAUGCUGUCCAUGGCUUGAACACCAAGGGAGGGCUGUGGUCCCCCAGGGUGCUGCUCUUUUGGUGGCCGUUAUCCCUGGGUAUUGGCUUUGCCAUGAGAUGAUGAUGCAGCGUCUGGUUGGGGGUCCCAGUAUGGAUACCCACAUAUGAUCCUGCUACCAUCUGCUGGAAGGAAUUGGCCUGUGCAGUUGCUUGUUGCAUGGAAGCCCUGUGGGAGCCAUGAUGGAGGUGGUGCAAGGAGGACGGCAGCAUUAGGUGUGAACCUUCUUCUCACUGCCCAUUUAUCCAUGCACUUGGAGUUUUGCUCACGG